UUUGAGUCAGUUAGAUUUGGUCUGUUAAUGGUAGGAAGAUGUAGCUCUGUGAUAACGAUAGAAGUGUUGUGUUCGUGUCCAAAGGAGAAUAAAUCCUUGGUUGUUGGUUAUCCUAAGUGGCUCUGUCAAUUCCCAUAUGAGGACAGAAGAAUAGUGGUGAAAAGGUGGCACAGCAGCACCCUGAGAUGCUUGAGGGCUCAGGUGAGAGCUGAAAUUUACCUCAGGUGGUGACAGAGGCUGAUUAAUGUCUCAAAACCACAAGGAGCUGGAACAAGGAAAUGAGUAUCUCCACUUUGAAGAUCCACAAACUGGGAAUUCUGUCAAGGCUGGGUUUUGAGCAGCACCACAGAGUAGUCCAAAGUCAGGACUGGGAAGGUCAAGCAGGAAACAGGAGCAAGAGAAGAGACCAGGAACUGGGGUCAGGCAGCAAUCCAGAAGUCAAAGUCAGUGGUCAGAACCAAGCAAACAAACCAGGUAAUGGGAUUAGGAAACAAGAUGCAAGUCAGAGAUGAAGCCAAGAGUCAAAGCUGAGCAGACAUAUCAGGCACCAGGGCCACAGCUGAAGCCAAGAGUCAGAAAACCAGGAACCAGGGUCAAGAAUCAAGCCACAGAUCAGAGCCAAGCAGAUAAACUAGGAACCAUGGUCAGGAAACAAGACAAAACAGUAAAAUUCGAGCAGGCAAACCAGAGAUCACCCGCAACAACGUAUCAGAACCAAGAAGAAUGAGAGAAAGGCAAAGCUUCAUACAGGAAGGUUUUAUAUCCUUCCUGUUCUAGGAAGGUCCAAUGAAUGAACAGUCCACUGGGUGAGCCUGUCCAAGGCCUGAGAGCAAUAUGUUCUGUCAAGGCCAUUGCAGCUCAGUUGUCAACCACAUGAGACACCUGUAUGCAGAGUUGAUGGUUCUUCGCUUCAACCCAGUCAGUACCCACCAAAAUCUGCCUGGAAGUCAGUGACCAGCCUUUACUUUAGAAAAAAGCUAAAGUUUUGUGUUUUUUAAAAACAACAACUGAUUUGAAGUUAACUCAAAAACAUUCAUGUAAAUCAGUCUCACAUUUAUAUUAGAGAUAGGUUGCAAAGAAAACUUGGAUCCCACCCCAAGCAUAUGUGCCUUCUCAUAGUUAUAAGGUGCAUGUGUUUUUCACAUUAUUGCCCACAUGAUAUAUAAGUGGCAUAGGUCUCAUCCCGUUUCAGUGCAGAAUUUCAGAUUAGAUUAACAAUUUAUAGAUAUAAAUAUAUAUCUCCUAUUAUUAAUCUUCCUGGUAACUAGGUGGUGGAGGGAGGAUGCAGAUGCUCAGCAUUUGCUUAGGAAAAUGCAAGUGUUCAAAAUAACCGAUAGGAAAGUUGGACAAACUGAGAUUCACUCAUGCUUAGCAAUGUCAAUAAGGGAUGGGUAUCUGAGCAGGCUCAUGUGCUAAUGUUCCUCUUUGGUUAGCAAGGUACUGCUAAGCCCAAAAGCAAUAGGAUAUGGGUCUGUUUGUGAUGGAAAAUCUGAACAGAGACUGUAAACUCAAGCCUUUCAGCAGGCCAGAGUUUCAUUGCAUUUGUCCCCAAAUGGGAAACACUGUCUGGCAAAUUAGAACAAUGGCUACAGGUUUAACAAAGGGGGCUCACUUUCUGUACAUCCUCAAGCCACUAAACUAUUGCAAAACUGCAUAAAGCUGAUUCCCACCCCCCGCGCUGCUUGCUGAGCAAUCAAUUUAAGACGUUCCCAGGUAAAUAGUAUAGAGAUGGGGCAAGACUUUGAAUGUGGCAGCUCAGAAAGCAAAGUCUCCCAACUUGAAUAGCGUGACUCCAUUUUGAAUUAAGCACAGCCCCCUUUGAGUCAGCCCCAACUCAAAAUGGAGUUCAGACUGCAUCCUUGUUGCUACCCAGCCCUCUCUGCCACUUACCUCCUUGCUUUCUCAAAGUAAAAAAAACAAAAUACCCACCCUUAACAUAGGGGAGGGGAAGGUGACAGGGAGAGCUCACUAGCACACAGAAGCCUCACAAGACCUCUUCAUAGUUGAAAAUGAUACUUGGAAAAAUAAUGGAUAUUGUGGUUUUCAGUAUAUACAUUUCUGACAUGACUGCUAGAUUUGCAUGAAACAGUUGCUUCAGAAAAAAAGUAAAAAUGAUCUAGAAGUUGGCUUUUGACCCUUUGCUGCCAUUGUGUAUAAGAUUACCCAUUAAAAUGCAUGAACAGCAUAUUGCCACAGCUUCAUAGCAGAACAAUUGUGUUUAUUCAUCUUCCUCGGUGAAUAUCAUGUGUGAAUAUCAGCAGUUGUUGCUAUGUUUAGAAUAUCUAGGUUGUAGGACAAAUGCUGCUUAUUGAAUAAGCAAAAUUAAGACAUUUUAGAAAUGUUAGGUCAGCACCUAAUGUUAAUGUAUAUUAGUUUUGUGGCACAUGGUGUAUCAACUGUUGAAAAUUAAAUUUGCAUUCCCUGUGGA